rnacentral:rRNA from 1 species
AUGUCCUCCUCCACCGCAAUCACCUCUUCUGGCCUCAACUACAACACAUCAGAACCUCUUAGCCGGACGAACUACGUUCUCUGGUGAGCCCAAGCACGAUCCCAGAUACUGGGAGCUGGCUUGUUUGGCUAUAUAGAUCAAACUAUCGAGGAGCCUCCCAAAACAAUCACAAGCAAAGAUAAAGAUGGCAAGGAGCAGGUAGUUCCCAAUCCUGCCCAUAACCCCUGGUUAGUUCAAGAUCAGCAAAUCGUAGCAUAUCUUCUCCGCAAUCUGUCCAAGGAGGUGCUCGUUCAAGUGGCCUCGCUU